rnacentral:rRNA from 1 species
UCUCCGUAGGUGAUCCUGCGGAGGGAUCAUU